CCUGAGGAAGUGUUUUGCCUACGUGGACAGAAAUCGCUCCCUUAAGGGCGUCCUUUAUGUCCAUGUAGGCAAAACGCUUCCUCAAGG
rfam:Gossypium hirsutum cultivar TM-1 chromosome 7, whole genome shotgun sequence